GGGAAGUCCGGUCGAAGUCCGGCGCUGACCCGCAACCGUAGGCCGCCCCACGGCAUCGAGCCUCGCCUCGCGGCCGUGGUCCGGCGGCGAGCCGGGAUACC
rnacentral:ncRNA from 2 species